rnacentral:rRNA from 1 species
AGACGUAGGGGGCUAGCGUUGCCCGGAUUCACUGGGCGUAAAGCGCGCGUAGGCGGUUCGGCAAGUCGCCCGUGAAAGCCCCUGGCUCAACUGGGGGAGGUCGGGCGAUACUGCCGGGCUAGAGGGCGGCAGAGGGAGGUGGAACGGCCGGAGUAGCGGUGAAAUGCGUAGAUACCGGCCGGAAUCCCGAUGGCGAAGGCAACCUCCUGGGCCGUUUCUGACGCUGAGGCGCGAAAGCUGGGGGAGCGAACCGGAUUAGAUACCCUAGUAGUCC